AUUGAACGCUGGCGGAAUGCUUUACACAUGCAAGUCGAACGGUAGAGGGGGCAACCCCUCGAGAGUGGCGAACGGGUGAGUAAUAUAUCGGAACGUGCCCAGUCGUGGGGGAUAACGUAGCGAAAGUUACGCUAAUACCGCAUACGAUCUACGGAUGAAAGCGGGGGAUCGCAAGACCUCGCGCGAUUGGAGCGGCCGAUAUCAGAUUAGGUAGUUGGUGAGGUAAAGGCUCACCAAGCCGACGAUCUGUAGCUGGUCUGAGAGGACGACCAGCCACACUGGAACUGAGACACGGUCCAGACUCCUACGGGAGGCAGCAGUGGGGAAUAUUGGACAAUGGGCGAAAGCCUGAUCCAGCAAUACCGCGUGAGUGAUGAAGGCCUUAGGGUUGUAAAGCUCUUUUAGUAGGGAAGAUAAUGACGGUACCUACAGAAAAAGCCCCGGCUAACUACGUG
rnacentral:rRNA from 1 species